CUGGGGGAGGAAGAUGAGGCUGAUCUUACAGACUGGAACCUACCUUUGGCUUUUAUGAAAAAGAGGCACUGUGAGAAAAUUGAAGGCUCCAAAUCCUUAGCUCAGAGCUGGAGGAUGAAGGAUCGGAAUUUUAAAAAACCUGUAUCUUCCGCGGUGAACUUGUCAGGUUACCAGCUCCUGAGGCCUGUUCUGAUGAGACCGCGGCGGCCAUGCUGGGUGUGUUUGAUGCUGCAGAAGAGCUCUGCACAGCUCGGUGAGCCCAUCUUUCCACAUGACCAGUGCGUGCUGUUACAACACCAUGUGUGGGUAAAGAGCCACUUCAAGCACCAGCUAGGACAGAGGGUCUCAAUGUAACAGAGUAUGAAAAAGCUACUGAAACAGUUUCCUUAUCCAACAAACCGCUUGUGGAGUUUUGGUGUGUAUCAAACAAUACUGACAAUUAUUUCAAAAGACUACGUAUACAUGUGCAGCUCCAUAUGUGAUGCUGGAUUUUCUUCCUGUGCUUCAGUUGAAUCAAUGUAUUACAGCAGAUUAAAUACAAUUGCAAAGGUGAGAAUCCAGUGACUUCUAUUCCUGAGCCAGACAGUAAAGAGAUUUGCAACAAUGAAAAACAUUGCCACUCUUUUCACUAAAAUUUUUUGUUUGGGAAAAUAGUUUCAUUUUUAAUAAAAAUGUCAUUCAUGUU
rnacentral:sRNA from 1 species